rnacentral:rRNA from 1 species
GAAAGUAAGCAAGGGCAGACGGUGGAUGCCUUGGCUCUCGGAGGCGACGAAGGACGUGAUAAGCUGCGAAAAGCCCGGGGGAGGCGCAAAUAGCCGUUGAUCCCGGGAUAUCCGAAUGGGGCAACCCGGCAGGCUGAAGGCCUGCCAUCCCGUAAGGGAGGCGAACGUGGGGAACUGAAACAUCUAAGUACCCAUAGGAGGAGAAAAUAAACAAUGAUUCCGUAAGUAGUGGCGAGCGAACACGGAAGAGCCCAAACCCAUGUCGUCUAGGCGACACGGGGGUUGUAGGACCACGACGUGGCAAGAUAGAGUCAAGUGGAACGCCUUGGAAAAGGCGGUCAUAGAGGGUGAAAACCCCGUACACGACUGACGAUUGAAGCCUAGUGGCAUCCUGAGUAGCGCGGGGCACGAGAAAUCUUGCGUGAAUUAGCGGGGCCCAUCCCGUAAGGCUAAAUACUCCCGAGAGACCGAUAGCGAACCAGUACCGUGAGGGAAAGGUGAAAAGAACCCCGAGCAGGGGAGUGAAAUAGACCCUGAACCCGUCUGCCUACAAGCGGUCGGAGCGUCGUAAUGACGUGACGGCGUGCCUUUUGCAUAAUGAACCUACGAGUUACCUUCCCCGGCAAGGUUAAGUACCUAAGGUACGGAGCCGAAGCGAAAGCGAGUCUGAACAGGGCGCCAAGUCGGGGGGGGUAGACGCGAAACCGAGUGAUCUACCCUUGGCCAGGUUGAAGGUUGGGUAACACCAACUGGAGGACCGGAUGGGUAAGCGUUGAAAAGCUUUCCAAUGAGCUGAGGGUAGGGGUGAAAGGCUAAUCAAACUCGGAGAUAGCUCGUACUCCCCGAAAUGCAUUUAGGUGCAGCCUCUUUAUAGUAUAUCGUGAGGUAGAGCGACUGAUUGGAUGCGAGGGCUUCACCGCCUAUCAAGUCCAGAUAAACUCCGAAUGCGCGAUAUAUAUUUACAGGGAGUGAGGGCGCGGGUGCUAAGGUCCGUGUCCGAGAGGAGAAGAAUCCAGACCACCGGCUAAGGCCCCCAAAUGAUCGUUGAGUUGAACUAACGAGGUCGGAUCGCAGAGACAGCUAGGAUGUUGGCUUGGAAGCAGCCAUUCAUUUAAAGAGUGCGUAACAGCUCACUAGUCGAGCGAUCUGGCGUGGAUAAUAAUCGGGCAUAAACGAUCUGCCGAAGCCGUGGAUGUCGUAAGACAUGGUAGGGGAGCAUUCCAUGCGGCGUCGAAGAUGAGGGAUGACCCUUGUUGGAGCGCAUGGAAAAGCAAAUGUAGGUAUGAGUAACGAUAAGGGGGGCGAGAAACCCCCCCGCCGAAAGACCAAGGUUUCCUGAUCAACGCUAAUCGGAUCAGGGUGAGUCGGGACCUAAGGCAAAGCCGAACGGCGCCGCCGAUGGAAGAAUGGGUUAAUAUUCCCAUACUGCCUCAUGGAGUGACGUGGAGACGGAGAAGUGACAGUCCUGCCGGCUGACGGAAUAGCCGGUUGAAGGGUGUAGGUGUCGAUCGCGGUAGGCAAAUCCGCCGCGAGAGCCGAACCUGACAGUAUACGGAGCGCUUGCGCAACGUAAUAUGGACGUAACCAUGCUCCCAAGAAAAUCCGCUAAACUUAUCCAUGCGGCACCCGUACCGUAAACGGACACACGUGGUCGGGUUGAGAAUACUGAGGCGCUCGAGUGACUCACGGUUAAGGAACUAGGCAAAUUGACCCUGUAACUUCGGGAUAAAGGGUCCUCGUCGUAAGGCGAGGCGCAGAGAAUAGGUCCAGGCAACUGUUUAACAAAAACACAUGGCUGUGCUAAAUGGAAACAUGACGUAUACAGCCUGACACCUGCCCGGUGCUGGAAGGUUAAGAGGAGAUGUCAUCGCAAGAGAAGCGUUGAAUUGAAGCCCCAGUAAACGGCGGCCGUAACUAUAACGGUCCUAAGGUAGCGAAAUUCCUUGUCGGGUAAGUUCCG